UUAUAACGUUAAAGUCACCCGUCUCACAAACAUUUGUAAUGAUACGCCGCGAACACGCACCAACACUAGAACCGUACGAGUUCCACAGUCCGCGCAGAUGCCCCACUCAUUUCCACUUCUCCGAAACAGCACAGGCAGAGGGUACUUAAGGAGGCCAGCGAACCUAGAUUAUCCAGAAUAUCCAGUCUUGAAGCGACAGCUCUGGGCUCCACUACCAGACAAGCGAGGUGAGCGAGGCAGGCCGACCUGACUAGCGAGUCACAGUAGUGACGUGACCUCGCAAACUAAGGCAGGCCAACUUGAGCAGCAAGGUGUACCGUGUUGAACUUGCGGCUCAUAAUUAAACGGUAGCAAACGAAACGUCUAUCCAGGGGAGGACUUCGCUGCAACGCGGUGACAAAUCGAAUUGUAUUUUAUUUUUACUUCUUUUUGAUCUGUACAUAAUUACAUUGAAUAUACGUAUUUUGUUUUAA
rnacentral:lncRNA from 1 species